AACGAACGUUAGCGGCGCGCUUAACACAUGCAAGUCGCACGAGAAAGGGAGCAAUCCCCGGUACAGUGGCGCACGGGUGAGUAACAUGUAGGUAAUCUUCCCUCGAGUGGUGGAUAACCUUCCGAAAGGGAGGCUAAUACAGCAUAAGACCACGGGAGCGAAAGCUUCUGAGGUCAAAGCCGGCCUCUAUACAUAAGCUGGCGCUUGAGGAUGAGCCUGCGGCCCAUCAGCUAGUUGGUAGGGUAAUGGCCUACCAAGGCGAAGACGGGUAGCUGGUCUGAGAGGAUGAUCAGCCACACUGGAACUGAGACACGGUCCAGACUCCUACGGGAGGCAGCAGUGGGGAAUCUUGCGCAAUGGGCGAAAGCCUGACGCAGCGACGCCGCGUGAGUGAUGAAGGCC
rnacentral:rRNA from 1 species